rnacentral:sRNA from 1 species
GCCAGGCACCGUGGCUCACGCCUGUGAUCCCAGAGACUCAGGAGGCUGAGGCAGGAGGAUCGCAAGUUCAAGGCCAGCCUGGACAACGUAGUGAGAUCCUGUCUCAA